AGUGAACGCUGGCGGCAGGCCUAACACAUGCAAGUCGAGCGGCAGCGCGGGGGCAACCCUGGCGGCGAGCGGCGGACGGGUGAGGAAUUCGUCGGAAUCUGCCUUUUUGUGGGGGAUAACGUCGGGAAACUUACGCUAAUACCGCAUACGUCCUACGGGAGAAAGUGGGGGACCGCAAGGCCUCACGCAGAAAGAUGAGCCGACGACCGAGUAGCUAGUUGGUGGGGUAAAGGCCCACCAAGGCGACGAUCGGUAGCUGGUCUGAGAGGAUGAUCAGCCACACUGGGACUGAGACACGGCCCAGACUCCUACGGGAGGCAGCAGUGGGGAAUAGUGGACAAUGGGCGGAAGCCUGAUCCAGCCAGGCCGCGUGUGUGAAGAAGGCCUUCGGGUUGUAAAGCACUUUUGUCCGGAAAGAAAUCCCUGGAGCUAAUACCUUCGGGGGAUGACGGUACCGGAAGAAUAAGCACCGGCUAACUUCGUG
rnacentral:rRNA from 1 species